ACGUAUUCUGAAAGGGAGUACUUCUUCGGACAAUAUACAAGGUGCUGCAUGGUUGUCGUCAGCUCGUGCCGUGAGGUGUCGGGUUAAGUCCCAUAACGAGCGCAACCCCUAUCAUUAGUUGCCAUCAGGUCAAGCUGGGGACUCUAAUGAAACUGCCUACGCAAGUAGUGAGGAAGGUGGGGAUGACGUCAAAUCAGCACGGCCCUUACGUCCAGGGCUACACACGUGCUACAAUGGCCGAUACAGAGGGCAGCUACCUGGUGACAGGAUGCAAAUCUCCAAAGUCGGUCUCAGUUCGGAUCGGAGUCUGCAACCCGACUCCGUGAAGUUGGAUUCGCUAGUAAUCGCGCAUCAGCCAUGGCGCGGUGAAUACGUUCCCGGGCCUU
rnacentral:rRNA from 1 species